CCAACCGCCGUCCGACAUAGAGGACACAUAGUCCUAUGCUGCGUUUUCAUUGGCUGAUUCUACGACAGGGUUUCCGAGGCUUUAAAGGGGAGAAAGGUGAACCAGGCUUGCCAGGCCUGGAUGGUCUGGAUGCCCCCUGUGCUGUGGGAGACGAUGGUUUACCUGUACCAGGAUGUUGGAAUAAAUGA
rnacentral:lncRNA from 1 species